rnacentral:rRNA from 1 species
UGCAGUCGAGCGGUAGAGAGAAGCUUGCUUCUCUUGAGAGCGGCGGACGGGUGAGUAAUGCCUAGGAAUCUGCCUGGUAGUGGGGGAUAACGUCCGGAAACGGACGCUAAUACCGCAUACGUCCUACGGGAGAAAGCAGGGGACCUUCGGGCCUUGCGCUAUCAGAUGAGCCUAGGUCGGAUUAGCUAGUUGGUGGGGUAAUGGCUCACCAAGGCGACGAUCCGUAACUGGUCUGAGAGGAUGAUCAGUCACACUGGAACUGAGACACGGUCCAGACUCCUACGGGAGGCAGCAGUGGGGAAUAUUGGACAAUGGGCGAAAGCCUGAUCCAGCCAUGCCGCGUGUGUGAAGAAGGUCUUCGGAUUGUAAAGCACUUUAAGUUGGGAGGAAGGGCAGUAAAUUAAUACUUUGCUGUUUUGACGUUACCGACAGAAUAAGCACCGGCUAACUCUGUGCCAGCAGCCGCGGUAAUACAGAGGGUGCAAGCGUUAAUCGGAAUUACUGGGCGUAAAGCGCGCGUAGGUGGUUCGUUAAGUUGGAUGUGAAAUCCCCGGGCUCAACCUGGGAACUGCAUUCAAAACUGACGAGCUAGAGUAUGGUAGAGGGUGGUGGAAUUUCCUGUGUAGCGGUGA